AUUGAACGCUGGCGGCAGGCCUAACACAUGCAAGUCGAGCGAGCGGCGGACGGGUGAGUAAUGUCUGGGAACCUGCCUUAUGGAGGGGGAUAACUACUGGAAACGGUAGCUAAUCCCGCAUACCAUCAGAUGUGCCCAGAUGGGAUUAGCUAGUAGGUGGGGUAAUGGCUCACCUAGGCGACGAUACCUAGCUGGUCUGAGAGGAUGACCAGCCAGACGGGAACGGAGACACGGUCCAGACUCAUACGGGAGGCAGCAGUGGGGAAUAUUGAACAAGGGGCGCAAGCCUGAUGCAGCCAUGCCGCGUGUGUGAAGAAGGCAUUCGGGGUGUAAAGCACUGUCAGCGGGGAGGCGUUACCCGCAGAAGAAGCACCGGCUAACUCCGUGCCAGCAGCCGCGGUAAUAC
rnacentral:rRNA from 1 species